rnacentral:rRNA from 1 species
AGCGAACGCUGGCGGCAGGCCUAACACAUGCAAGUCGAGCGCCCCGCAAGGGGAGCGGCAGACGGGAGAGUAACACGUGGGAACGUACCCUUUGGUUCGGAACAACCCAGGGAAACUUGGGCUAAUACCGAAUAAGCCCUUACGGGGAAAGAUUUAUCGCCGAAGGAUCGGCCCGCGUCUGAUUAGCUAGUUGGUGAGGUAACGGCUCACCAAGGCGACGAUCAGUAGCUGGUCUGAGAGGAUGAUCAGCCUCACUGGGACUGAGACACGGCCCAGACUCCUACGGGAGGCAGCAGUGGGGAAUAUUGGACAAUGGGCGCAAGCCUGAUCCAGCCAUGCCGCGUGGGUGAUGAAGGCCCUAGGGUUGUAAAGCCCUUUCGGCGGGGAAGAUAAUGACGGUACCCGCAGAA